AUGCGCGUGCUCGCUGUCGUUGUUGAACGGCCCUGAAAGCGCUGCGUUAGGGGCGAGUGCAACCGAACAUUACGGCAAGUUACGAUGGGAACUUCUUUCCGUGCUACGUGAUUGCGACGACAAGAACGGCCAGCAGUAGCGUGUCGCCGAUUUCGUCUUGGCCGACAUCGAACAAGUAUAGCUCGCCGGACCGUGGCUAGCACCCGAAGUGUUGCCGUGUGCACUGCGUCGUCUUUCAUUGUGAUGUGAGAGAUCGUAACGCACAGAGACUGCCGGAUGCAUACGAAAGCCUACCAGCAGGGAGUGACAGUGCCAUUUUUCUAUUACCGUCUCAGGUAUUGAAGAAGCGGCAACAGCCACAGAAAGUAGCCAUCUUAUCCAGCACGUUAUGGGUAGAACUUGGCGGCUCCUGCUCCUGCCUUCCACCACCACCCUGUCCCGACUGCUUCCACUAGAGAGUUGGCAACCUUAGUGAUGAUGCCAAGCAGUCCGAUGGCAGACGGCAAGAUGCAGGUUGCUGCGAAAUUUUACCCGAGCUGGGCCACACACUUGAGCCAGGCCUCUUGGAAAGGAUGCCAUAAUCAGACUCCACGCGUCGAUGUCAGAGGAUGCCAGGGAUCAAGGCAACCUGUUGUGCCCCACUAUUCAAUGUUUGGUGACCCUUCUAUGUGUUUCACCUAUUUCGCAGCUGUACCUCGGCUGCCAUCUAUCCAAACAGCAUCGCCAGCUGUGCCGACUUGUUGAACCAUG